rnacentral:rRNA from 1 species
GAACCUUACCAGCUUUGACAUCCCGGUCGCGGGCACCAGAGAUGGAGCCCUUCAGUUCGGCUGGACCGGAGACAGGUGCUGCAUGGCUGUCGUCAGCUCGUGUCGUGAGAUGUUGGGUUAAGUCCCGCAACGAGCGCAACCCUCGCCCUUAGUUGCCAUCAUUUAGUUGGGCACUCUAAGGGGACUGCCGGUGAUAAGCCGCGAGGAAGGUGGGGAUGACGUCAAGUCCUCAUGGCCCUUACAGGCUGGGCUACACACGUGCUACAAUGGCGGUGACAAUGGGACGCAACGGGGAGACCCUGCGCAAAUCUCAAAAAGCCGUCUCAGUUCGGAUUGUGCUCUGCAACUCGAGCACAUGAAGUUGGAAUCGCUAGUAAUCGCAGAUCAGCACGCUGCGGUGAAUACGUUCCCGGGCCUUGUCACACCGA